UACAGAGGUGGCAAGCGUUGUUCGGAAUUACUGGGCGUAAAGGGCGCGUAGGCGGCCUACUAAGUCAGACGUGAAAUCCCCCGGCUUAACCUGGGAACUGCGUCUGAUACCGGAAGGCUUGAGGAUGGGAGAGGGAUGUAGAAUUCCAGGUGUAGCGGUGAAAUGCGUAGAUAUCUGGAGGAACACCGAUUGCGAAGGCAGCUCGCUGGGACGUCACUGACGCUGAGACGCGAAAGCGUGGGGAGCAAACAGG
rnacentral:rRNA from 1 species